CAUCCCUUUAGAAACUUAAAACUAUAUGUACGUAUAUGGAGAGAGAUUAGAGAGAGAGAGAGAGAGAGGCGGGAUCUUGAGUCCUGAGGCGGAGAUGACCUAUACUCCAAUAGAGUGAAGGAAUAGCAGUAAAUGGAUGUCAAGAUUAGGGUUUUACAAGAGCAAACGGAUAUGACGUGGGAUUAAGGCAGAGCGUUCUUGACUCGUACAGAAUGAUAUUGUGUCAGCACAAAAUAAUAUUGUUUUGUAUAUCCCGAGAACAUUUCACCUAGCUUCAUAUAUCAUUCUGUACACUUUAGAAACACUCCACCUAACUUCCGCUUUAGAGGAUUCAAAUUUGAAUAUUUCUGAAAGGUUUUCAGGAAUAUUCAAAUUUGAAUCUCUAAAGCGGAAGUUAGGUGGAGUGUUCCUCAAAUGUACAGAACGACGUGUGGAGCUAGGUGGAGUGUUCCUGGAGUAUACAAAAUAACGUCAUUUUGUACAAUUAAAAAAAUCAAUUUCUAUGUCAUUUUAGAAUAAGAAUAGUUCGAAUGGAACUUUAAAAGGGGAAAAUCCUAUUUAACGUGUUUUUAGUGCAUUUUGAGAUAGAAACAAUCAAUUUCUUUAAUUCUACGUGGAUAAAAAUUAACAAUUAAAAUUUUAGCGUUUAAUUUAUUAUAAUUGAAAUUGAUAGAGUUUAAUUUGUUUCUAUAGUUAAACUCUAGGGGGUUAUGUAAUUUUUCCCAAAAAAAAAAUAAUUAGCUAAUGUAUUUAUAUGAUAAAAUUAUGUUAUAUAUAUGUGUGCGCGUGCGCUUUGAAAGUCAAAAUCAAUACAAAUAAAACUAAGUGGUUAUCAAAAGCUCUGAAAUUUUUACUUCAUUGUUAUUUUAUUUUUACGAGCUAAUUUAUUAUAUACAUACGACGUAAAAAUUUAAAACCGAUUAAAAAUAUACAUGAAUGUGUGAGUUGACACUACUACAACAUCAAAUACGGGAAUUCGAAUCUAACGAGACUCGAAAAUUUGGCUUGUCUAUUAGGUGUUUUGUGAUGAAUAUUCCCAAAAUAAAAAAUAAAAUGAAUGAGAAAAAAAAUGGUACUCUACAUAAAAUUUCUAAGUUUGAGCAAAUCGAGGAGUGGUCGCGUAACUUAAAUUCGGUUUUAGGUGCCUAAUGUUACGGGCUUAAAAUCCGAAUGCCUCGACCCGUGCGGCACUUGUCGCUUUUGCCUUCAAAAGUCGCCAAGUAAGCCUAGAACAACCGAAAGAAAGACUAAGGAAACACAAGUGAGCAACAAGAAAGCUAGAGAGAGAGAUAUCUUGGAGAAUGCCUUCAAUUCUCUAAAACUUGGAUUGAUACAAAUGAGGGGUUGGUCCCCUAUUUAUACAAGUGUAUGAAUCUAGAAUGUUCUACCAAAGCUUAGAGAAUUCUAUGUAUAAGGAUCCUCUUUGAAAGAUUUCACAUUUCAUUCAUCACCAUGUUCUAGAAUCUCUAUCAUCCUUCUAAGAGAUUCUGAACCAUCUCCACGUUUUUUAUGACCGUUCUAGAAUGUUCUACAACAUUCUAGAUACUUUUCCAAUAUUCUAGAAGCUUCCUCCAAUUUCUAGAAUAUUAUAGAUCUUUCUAAAAUAUUCUAGAACUUCCUGGAUGCCUCCCCACUUUCUAGAAUAUUCUAGAACAUCUUGGAAGCCUCUAGAAUCUUCUUUCAUUUGGCGGGCCAUGACAUUCUCCCCCACCAAUUUCGGUGACGCCCUCGUCGUCGCCUAUUCCGUUUGGCGGGCCGUGACAUUCUUCCCCACCAAAUUUGGCGACGUCCUCGUCGCCACUUCUUCCGAAAUCUGGCAACUGUCUUGGGGAAGAUCCAUGAGUUGUCUUCAUGCCGCCUUUGGGCAAACCUGAAAGCUCCCGAGCUUUUGGUAGUAGCGACAGGAGGAAUCUUGACCCUCAACUCCAAUCCGAUGGAGUGAUCCACCUCCCCCUCGGGUGGAAAUCCCUUUGGCGACUCCAGGGACACGAGGUCUUGAAGUCCAAGGCCUCUCUAAGGUCCCUUUGACCCGUCCAACCUUGGUGCUUGUAGUCUUUCGGGCUCUGAUAUUGUUAGCUCUCCUCAAGUCUUGCCUCUCCUCGUACUUUGAUAAGCGCGGCAACUUCCUCCCUUUUUGGGCAGUCUCAACAAAAUAAGCUUACCACCCAAUAAGCAUUGUUCUUGGCUCCUAUCCUUGUGCUUGCCGCUUGUCAAACACUUUUAACUGAAAGGAUACUUCUCUUGAUGUCCCACGUGUUUACCAUAUAAUUGACAAUAGCUAGCAUGUCCCUCUUGGCUCCCCGAGGCUACCCUUGAGGUCCCUCCACCUCAUACUCCAUGCCAUCUCCCCGAUGUCAAGCCGCUCCCCCGAGUCGGCCCACGGUCACAUCCACCCUAGUGAACCGCGUCUCUAUCAGGACUAACACAAACUCGAGUCUUAUCCGUCUUCCCUUCGCUAGUGUGGUGGGAGGGAUUGCCUCAAUCUCAAAUGCCUCCCUGCUCGGUCACGUCCAAAGUUGUUGCCACUUGCUUAGCCUUCGAGAAAACUUGGCUCCUCAAUACAACUUGUCACGGCUUAAAAAUCGAGCCGAACCGUGCAGCACUUGCACUUUUGCCUUCAAAAGUCACAAGUAAGCCUAUAACAAUCGAAAGAAAGCUUAAGGAGGAAACACAAGGAGCAAAAAAAAGAAAAGGUAGUAGAGAGAGAGGAUCUUGAAACAUUGCCUUCAAUUCUUAAAACUUGGAUUGAUACAAAUGAGGGAUUGGUCCCCUAUUUAUACAAGUGUAUGAAUCUAGAAUGUUCUACCAAAGCUUAGGGAAUUCUAUGUACAAGGAUCCUCUUUGAAAGAUUUCACCAUGUUCUAGAAUUCUCUAUAUCCUUCUAAGAGAUUCUAGAACCAUCUCCAAGUUUUUAUGACCUUCUAGAAUGUUCUACAACAUUCUAGAAUAUUUUCCAAUAUUCUAGAAGCUUCCUCC
rnacentral:lncRNA from 1 species